UGCAAGUCGAGCGGACGUAGCAAUACGUCAGCGGCAGACGGGUGAGUAACGCGUGGGAACAUACCUUUUGGUUCGGAACAACACAGGGAAACUUGUGCUAAUACCGGAUAAGCCCUUACGGGGAAAGAUUUAUCGCCGAAAGAUUGGCCCGCGUCUGAUUAGCUAGUUGGUGAGGUAACGGCUCACCAAGGCGACGAUCAGUAGCUGGUCUGAGAAGAUGAUCAGCCACAUUGGGACUGAGACACGGCCCAAACUCCUACGGGAGGCAGCAGUGGGGAAUAUUGGACAAUGGGCGCAAGCCUGAUCCAGCCAUGCCGCGUAAGUGAUGAAGGCCCUAGGGUUGUAAAGCUCUUUUGUGCGGGAAGAUAAUGACGGUACCGCAAGAAUAAGCCCCGGCUAACUUCGUGCCAGCAGCCGCGGUAAUACGAAGGGGGCUAGCGUUGCUCGGAAUCACUGGGCGUAAAGGGUGCGUAGGCGGGUCUUUAAGUCAGGGGUGAAAUCCUGGAGCUCAACUCCAGAACUGCCUUUGAUACUGAGGAUCUUGAGUUCGGGAGAGGUGAGUGGAACUGCGAGUGUAGAGGUGAAAUUCGUAGAUAUUCGCAAGAACACCAGUGGCGAANGCGGCUCACUGGCCCGAUACUGACGCUGAGGCACGAAAG
rnacentral:rRNA from 1 species